UCAUUCUAGAAACACUUUCCAGUACCUCUACUUUGUUACGACUUAUUCCAAUUUUUAAAUGAAAGCGACGGGCAAUAUGUACAUAUUUUAAUUUUCAAUCAUUUUAUUUUAUUAAAUAAAAUUACAUUUAAAUCCACCUUUAUUUUUUUAUUACAAAAAAAAAUCCAUUUAAAUAAACUUAUUGUAAUCCAUCAUAUUCUUAACUAUAUUCUACAUCUUGAUCUGAACUAAUUUCUAUUAUUAAUUUUUAAAUAUUAUUUUUAUUUUAAAAUAUUUUUUUAACAACGAUAUAUAAAAUUUUAAAUUAAGUAAAUUUAAUCGUGGAUUAUCAAUUAUUAGACAGAUUCCUCUANAUGAACUAAAAUACCGCCAAAUUACUUAAGUUUCAAUAAAUCAUUACCUACUAUUUUAGUAUUCAUAAUUAAAUUUUA
rnacentral:rRNA from 1 species